GCAAGCAGAGGAGGACCAAACUACUAUUGUCCUUGCUGACAGGAAGGGGAGGCCAGAUCAUGGAGGAAGGAAGUGGCCUCUGCAGGAGGGUUUUCUUUUGACUAAAAGUCCGAUUUUCAAACCAAUCAUGACCUCGCGUUACCUGUGCGAUCUGUCUCACCUUCUCCUCCGUUUGUCCAUUAACCACAGGCUCAGGGAGUGGACCUAUGGACGAGAAAAUGACACAACAGUCACUGAUGGACUCCAGGAACGUCCCCCUAUUCUCAUCUGGCAGCAGCAGAGCACUGAGCUGCUCCCCAAAGCUCACCUUUCAUCCUGCCAACACCCACUCUACCUCAGAGCACAGGAAGAGUCUUCCUAAGAGCUAACAUGGCUCCAGCUGCAGGCUGAAGGGAAACCAAACAAGAGGGGCUGCCCGGAAAGCAGGUGUCUGCGAAUCGCCUCUCUGGAAGCUGUCCUCCGCACACAGUUAUUAUUUGUAAUCUUGGACUGACGGAUGCACAUUCAUCAAACCUGCAGCGGAACACUAACUGCGGCCUUGUAAACACACCCCGUAAUUUACAAGAUUAAAUCUGCUUGAAAUCAG